rnacentral:sRNA from 1 species
UUGCCUCUAAUGUGUAUUUAGAAAAAGUUACAGGACUUCACGAAGUAACAGACAAAUUGCGCUGAAAUAAUUAGAGCAAAAUCAAACAAAAGUGCAGAAUUUGGAAUGUGGAAAGGUUUGGGUAAAGAAAAGUAGAAGGCGCGAGCUGGGGUGUUCAGGAGCGUGGCUGAGAGUGUGAGCCUCAGUAGAGGCUGCAAACAUUCCGAGCAAAGCAAUUCAGAGUAAAUACAACUGCUUCUGAUCCUGACCUCAGGAAAGACUUUGCCCUUUCCCCUGGUCCACACUAGUGUAUGGCGGGACCCGAGUCUCCUUCUCAGCCACUUGUGUGAGCUUCAUAGCCAGGAUUCUGGUCCCCCAAGAAUGUCAGGAACAUGGUCCGUGAUGGAGAAGUGGCUGGAGCGAAUGUCAGGGGCAACAGUCAUCUGACUGUGGAACCCACUAGAGCGGCCUUUAAAAAAAUAGAGUAAAUAUAAUCGGACUCGAUUUCAGCUUUGUGGGACAGGAUCUCAUGCAGCCCAGGCUAACUUCAGACUCACCAUGUAGCCGAGUCUACCCUUGAACUUUGAUCCUUCUGCACCCACCACUCAAGUGUGGGGGUUCUGGACAUGUUCUGCCACAGCAGACUUUGCGUUUGUUAUUGAAGACGUUAGGAGCAUGGGCUGUGGAGUCAGGGCUGGCUUUGGAGCCCAGCCCUGUUGUCUUUUACCUAGGUGAACGUUAAAAGCCACACCGUUCUGCUGUGCCCUCCUUGGAGACAUGACAGCAGCAGACGAUUGCUUGGAAUAGGAUGAAGGACUCCAGCAUUUUCAGUUUACUUCAGCCAAGACUCCCAGCCAUUACUUCAUUGGAAGACAUCCUCCCACGGAUGCAAGAUGCUGCAGGAUAACGGUAUUCAUCAAACGUGUGCAGGUCUCUUGGGCGGCUUCAUUGGCAUUGAGCUCACACAUAGAUUUGCUAUUUCUUGAGAUCAUAAAGCCCAUAUCUCAAUGG